rnacentral:rRNA from 1 species
UACGGGGGGGGCAAGCGUUGUUCGGAAUUACUGGGCGUAAAGGGCUCGUAGGCGGCCAACUAAGUCAGACGUGAAAUCCCUCGGCUUAACCGGGGAACUGCAUCUGAUACUGGAUGGCUUGAGUUCGGGAGAGGGAUGCGGAAUUCCAGGUGUAGCGGUGAAAUGCGUAGAGAUCGGGUGGAACACCAGCGGCGAAGGCGGCAUCCUGGCCCUGUACUGACGCUGAGGCGCGAUAGCGUGGGGAGCAAACGGG